UGGGGAAUAUUGGACAAUGGGCGAAAGCCUGAUCCAGCCAUGCCGCGUGUGUGAAGAAGGUCUUCGGAUUGUAAAGCACUUUAAGUUGGGAGGAAGGGUUGUAGAUUAAUACUCUGCAAUUUUGACGUUACCGACAGAAUAAGCACCGGCUAACUCUGUGCCAGCAGCCGCGGUAAUACAGAGGGUGCAAGCGUUAAUCGGAAUUACUGGGCGUAAAGCGCGCGUAGGUGGUCUGUUAAGUUGGAUGUGAAAGCCCCGGGCUCAACCUGGGAACUGCAUCCAAAACUGGCAAGCUAGAGUACGGUAGAGGGUGGUGGAAUUUCCUGUGUAGCGGUGAAAUGCGUAGAUAUAGGAAGGAACACCAGUGGCGAAGGCGACCACCUGGACUGAUACUGACACAGAGGUGCGAAAGCGUGGGGAGCAAACA
rnacentral:rRNA from 1 species